UGUACAUGAAAAGGUAUAGUUUGAUAAUUGGUUUCAUAACAACAUGAAGAGGAAGUUUUAGAUAUAAUAAAACUAUGUCAUAUUUAAAUUUUAAAUUGCUCUUUUUCUUUAUUGUAUUCACAGCAAAUGAAGAUGCAUUCCUGGCGCAAACUGAUUCCGAUGAUAAAGGAUAUGGCGAUUUAGGGCUACCAAUUAUUAUUUUGGACGGCACUGCUGUGUUAGGGCUAGGUUUUCUAAUUGGUGUUUGCUGUGCUUGUGUACUUUUACGCAAAAAAGAAAAGAUAAAAGGCAGAAUACUUCCGAUGAAGGAAGAUCAACAAAGGCCAACACAGUCUGUAGAAACUGUUUCCUUUGCUUUAAGUCCUUCAGUGAACAGUAAUGUACGAAUCCAAACGGGAACGAAUGCGGAAAACAGACAGACUAAUGAUUCUCAAGAAGGUCCAGUGAAGAAAUUUAAGACACAGUUAAAACAGACUAGGGGGACUCGAUUGAAAGAUUCUACACCUACACCGCAUAGUUACGAAGAAUUUCAAAACAGAACAGACGCAGAAAACAUUUACGAUUCUAUAGAAGGAUUAGCAAAGUAAGAUGAGUCUGAGACAGGGCAAUCAAAAGAGGCGGCACUGCAUGAUUCGGCUUCUGCACCACAAACAUACCCAUUAAAUAACAUAUUUCAGUCGAUUCCAGUGAAGCACAGAACAGCCGAUCACAUAGUGACAAACUUUGACAGAUGAUAUGUUAAUCAACAGCCGAUUAAACUUUGAACAUGGUGUUCUUUAAAUCUCAGUUUCAAGUUCUAACCUAAUUACACCGAAGACAUUAAUAAUCUGCUUUGCAGAUACUUUUAAGUUUGAAACAUUUUGACUUGAGACUGGGAGAUAAUGAAAUUUACAAAUAAUCAGCACUUUACUGUGACACAGUUCAAUAGCAUAUUCUAAUACCACACAAUUAGAAAUAGCAAUGUUUAUCAUUAUAAAUUUAUACAUAAACUUCUUUCAAUCCUGGAAAAAAGCAGACUGUUUUACCCUUUCUUAAAGUUAUUUAUUUGCUUUGAUUAAUAAAAAUUAUAUUUUAAAUGCCAAUUAUACCCAAAAAUUCUUACUUUUAAAUUUUUACUUCUCAAAAGCUUCUUUGAUGUUCAGAUAUAGUUUACAAAAAUAUAAUCAGCCAUUAACCAGCACCAUUAUUUGUUUCUGUUGCUUUUUUGCAAGCCGUACAUAUAAAGUGAUUUAGUAUUUUGUAUUGAAGUCAAAAUACGACCUUAUUAUAUUCUGCUUUUUAAUGGCAAAUAAUUUCAUAUUUAACUUUUUACAGAUAGCUAGCAUUCAAGUAUGUUCUUAAACUAUUUGUUAUCUAAACGUAGCAAAACUCAUGUUUGAUCUUUUUGUAAAGGAGAAAAAUAUUCGCUUCUGAGUCGUUAUGUGCCUCAUAAUGAUAAGAAUUGCUUAAUUGUUAAUGUUCAAGUAUUCCUGCUUGUAAAAAUAUAUGUAAAAGAAAUAUAAUUUAUAUAACUUCAAUAUUGUGUCAUAUAUUUGAGGUAUAAUCAAUAAUAGUAUAAGUUAUAUGCACUUAAUAACACAUGCAUAUACAAACUGGCUAAUUUCAUUUGAUUUGUCAAUUUGUUUGCGACGUUUUUUCAAGAAAUAAUUUCUUUGAAGCAAUGUUAAUAGAAAUAAGUACAUUAUGCGAAAUGUCACUAUUAUUAUUCUAAUUUAUUGACAAAAAUUUGUUUGCAUUAUGAAAUAUGUACUUUGUUUUAUCAUGUUUAUGAUAAAAAUAUUAUUGCACUUUGUUAUCUAUUUCUAACAAACCAAUGUAGUAUAAUAUUUGUUCAAUAACUGUAAGUAACUUUUGUAAAUAACUAUAGUAACUGAUAUUGUUUACCAUAUGUACAUGUAUAUAGUAAAAUAUGAUGAAAUAUUGAAAUACAAGUUUCCAGGAAUUUGGCUACAAUCACGAUUGUAAAUGAAAUGCUUUGGAUGCUAAUUAUUAAUAUCUUCGGAGGCAUAACAUUAUAAUAUAAUGAGUAAACCUUCAUAUUUCACUAUCAUCCACUCUUGCUGCUGUACAUGGAAAUUCUCCCUUUUACUGAAUAUGCUUGCUCUUCUGCAUAAUGGUCCAAAUAUUAUUCUCGCAUACUCGCUGUCUCUUCAAAUAAGAAAUUUUGUUUUGAAAUUGAAUCCCCAUACAGACGAUCCCUUCCAUGUUACAGGAGUGCUACAUUCAAAAUGUAUGUUGACUUAUUUAUUUAUCGCUACUUUCACUAAAAUAGUUUGAAUUCAAUGGCUGCAUAUUGUUCUUUAUAGGAGUCUUCUGACGGGACUGAACAUAAUUUUCGAGAUUAAUGCUUUGUUUGAUGUUGGUCUAAAACAAUAAGUUGUAUGCAAAAUUUCAGAUCAUUCCAUCACCCUGUUUUCAAGAAUUAUUAUUCUAAAUGUAAUUAAAGAACCAAAAUCGAAAGGUGUUGCAUCGCUUUUCAUUCAAAUACAAUAUUCAAUUUAUUCUGGGUAUAUUUCUUCGUUUAAAUGCCCCUGUUGAUAUAUGUAAGACCAUCAAAUUUUAUGUUUUUAUGUCACCUCUACGGUGUAGUGGACUACCUCUCCUAUACCGCUGAAAUAAUUUCAAUGAAUUUUUACAGGAUUGAUAUGUAGCUAAAGUACUUGCGCACAUUACACGGGUUUAAGUUAUGACAGUUCAGAAAAGGGUGUUUUUGUGUUACCAGCUACUAGUUCGGAAUACUCUUUAGAAAUUACUUGUGCAUUUACAUCAAAAGUUAACAUGAAUGAUCAAUAUUAUGUCAUGUUGUGAAUCUCAUCAACAUUUUUUGGAUUUUACUAUUAUUGUCAGAGUGAUUUCCCUUAAAUUAUUUUGAUUUUUAAAAAUUUGUCCGGACGACUCCUCUAAUACCACUUAUGCAAUUUAAUGAAUUUUACGGGUUUGAUCGAUAGCUCAUGUCCUUGUACACAAAGUACACGGAUUUUCUGAUAAAAGGAUUUUCAGCCGAGUUAUGGACCUUGAAAAUGUGUUUUGCCCUGUUCAUAAUUUUGGGUCUCCAGCUACAAAGUAGCAGCAACAUGCAAUUAGAUAUCCUGGGGCGACAUAUGUUAUUACUGCAGGCCCUUGUUAGGUUUUAGGACUUCAGUAGAGGUCUUUUUAUUUAUCUGGAGAUAAUCAUCAAAUUCCUCGCCCAUCAUCAACAAAUUCUUCAACUGCAUCUUUGUCCACUACGUCGUCUAUGUCUAGCUAGUACGUAUUAUGUCGUCAAGUUCCUGUUUAUAUGUUCUACUGUACAAAGUUCAAAGUCUACUGAGCCAAAUAGACAUUCGUCCCACUGAAUCUAGUA